AUUGAACGCUGGCGGCAGGCCUAACACAUGCAAGUCGAGCGAGCGGCGGACGGGUGAGUAAUGUAUGGGGACUGCCCGCUAGAGGGGGAUAACUACUGGAAACGGUAGCUAAUACCGCAUACUAUCGGAUAACCCAUAUGGGAUUAGCUAGUAGGUGAGGUAAUGGCUGACCUAGGCGGCGAUCCCUAGCUGGUCUGAGAGGAUGAUCAGCCACACUUGGACUGAGACACGGCCCAGACUCCGACGGAGGCAGCAGUGGGGCAUAUUGCAGAAUGGGCGCAAGCCUGAGGCAGCCAUGCCGGGUGAAUGAAGAGGGCCCUAGGGUUGUAAAGUACUUUAAUUGGGGAGGCGUUACCUGAAGAAGAAGCACCGGCUAACUCCGUGCCAGCAGCCGCGGUAAUAC
rnacentral:rRNA from 1 species